UGGGUUUUGAAUUUCGGUGCAUGCAAUUCUGGGUGGUGCAUAUGAAUGUAUCUGGAUUUUUUUGGCAUUUGAAUUUGGUUUUGUGGGUGAUUGUGUGCGCUGCUGUGUUCAAUUUCUAUCUAGAUUUUCAAGUUAUGUAGAUAUCUUGGUUAUGUGACUGAUUUGGGGUUUCGAUGAUGCGGGGGUUUAGGGUUGUGAUAUUGGGUUUGUCAUCAGCAAGGAGGAGGGAAGCGAUUCUGGUUUAUUGGGUUUUUGAUGUGAGGAGGAAGAGCUUCGUUCUUCAUUAAUGUGUUUUGGGCUGAGGCAGGAGAAGAGAAAUCUGGGUAAUUGGUUUUGUAGUUUUGCUUUUGUUUUCUUAAUCAAUGGUUCUUAGAUGUAACUUGGAAUAAAUUGACAAACAAAUACUACUAUAGUGCAGGAUCUCUUAAAGCAAUAGUUUGGUCUAUUAAUUCAAUCUGCAUCCAAGCUAUAUGUUGUGUUCCAUAUCCAUCUUUUUUUUUUUUUUUUACAAAAUAGUUUACAUACUGAAUUCGAUUUAUGUUAGAUUUUUGACUUACUUGAUGUCAAGCGCAAUAGGGUUAUUGAGUUUGGAGAAUUUGUUCGAUCAUUAGGUAUCUAUCACCCCAAUGCACCUGUACAAAACAAUUGCAUCUGCGUUUAGACGGUAUGAUAUGAGACAAACAGGGUUCAUUGAAUGAGAGAAGGUUUGUUUCACAUUGAAACAUCCUUGAUCCCACAGUCUACAAGCAGGAUAUGAUAUUGAGGACGUUCUAAAAUUUGUGCAUUGGCUUGAUGGAUAACUUGCAUCGUUGUCUUUGUAUUUGGAUGAAGUGAAGCUUGCAAAACUCCAAAAGGCAAAUUACAAUUUUGUAUAGUAAUUGUCCAAGAAAUGAGGGAAAGUGACUGGUCCAAGAAAUGAGCUCGUCGGAUCCAUGGCCUAUGGAGGCAAGGGCAUUUGCCACAAAAUUAUGUUAUUCUAAUUUUCUCAGAUGAAGGAAACUCUUGAGAUAUUCAAGAUGAUUUGAUCUUCGAAAAGUUGACUCACAUGUUCGACGAUGUGAGCUUUCAGGGAAGUUCUUAUUUAUAAUUUAUUAGCUUCCCAUAUUGUGAAUAACGUGGCCCAUUACCUAAUGACGAAGUCAUGAGUUCGAGUCACCAUGGGAGUAGGAGUGAAAUCAUUUGAUCCUCUUUUUUCAAUAAAAAAAAAAAAAAAAGAGAAAAAAAAAAUAAUACUACCACCAUUAAUAGUCUACAACAAUUGAUAUAUUCACAUAUCUUUUUCACCUUAUCAAUUCACUCCAACAUGCACUACGUGAUUCAUGUAACAAUGUAUUCAACAUCAAACAUGUCAAUUGUCAAACAUAAUUGCCACAUUUAUACUUUUGGGUCAUUACUUCUUGUAUGAGGUAAGUCGAGUUUUAGAUGAUUGUAAAGAGUAUAUGUGUGAUUUUCAAUCAGUUAGAGUUCGACAUAUUUACCGUGAAGCAAACGGUAUAGCGGAUAGGCUUGCUCACCUUGCUAGUGGAUGUGAUAUUGAUGAUUUGUGGUUAGAUGAGAUGCCUGCAAUUAUUCAGGAUAUUCUUUACGAGGAUCAAUGUAACUGUUUCUAUGUAGCUCGGAGUUCAGGUUUUAUGUCCCCCUCGAUGCAAAACUCUAAUAUUAAUAUAAUAAAUGGAACCGGGCGUGGGGCUGAGCCUCCCAGCAAGGCUAGGUUCCAAACCCCUUUAAAAAAAAAAAAAAAAAAAAAAAAACCUAUGCCAAAUUAAGGAAACCAAACCCGCCCUACCAAUCUACCGUAAUAGCUUUUUACCAAUAACUACAAAAUGAUCGACACUACUAUUUACCAAUAGCAGACUCCAAAAUCAAUAGCUCAUGCGGCCAAUAAUUGAAACAAGCUGUCAGCCGUCAGCCCAUUUUAUAGAAAAAACACUCAAAUAUUAAGAAAAUUACGAAACAUGCCACUGUCACAUAACCUAUUUCUCCCAAAAUCAGAACGGAUCCGAAAUCGAAACCAUCCCAAAAUCCAAAUCCUCCCUAAAUCGAUCUAGGGCUCCGACGAAGGUAGAGGACGAAGCAGCUGGCGGAUUGAGGCGGCGAAGCAACCGGCGAAGGGAGGCUGCGAAGCCGGCGAGACGAGGCUACAAAGCCAGCGAAAGGAGGCUGCGAAGGGAGCAUCAAAUCUCUGAUUCUCUUUCGCUUUCCUUUCACUAUAUUUCUAAGCUUGGCUUAUACCAGCUCAUGGAUCCCUUCGAUUUGGUGCAAAAAGGUAUUGCUCCGCUUCGGAUCUUUCACUUGGCUUUGGGAUUGAUUUCGGUUUAUCUUCGUUUUGGAUUUUGUGCAUGGUUUUGUGAUUUUUGACGUUGAAUUUGAUGAGAUCUAUUGAAUUUGAUUGGUUUUAUGGCUGCGGAUUUGGUUUCUGUGCUGCUCUUGUUUUUUUUAGCUUGAUUUUGUUUGGAUUUUCUGUGGAAAACCAUCCCAACAGUUUGAGCUCUCAAACUGUUAGAUUCUAUGCACAAGUAGUUGUAUGAAAUGAUCACUUCGGUUGAACCUGCCUAAAGUUUUGUUUUUCCAUCAUACGAACUUGUUUGGUAUAUUAAUAGCUUUGCAGCUAAAUCGUUUGGAACAAAAGGUGGCACCUUAGAUUUUGAUUACUUGAGUAGGGUGCUUCUCUUUCUUC